rnacentral:rRNA from 1 species
GCUAGUAAUCGUGGAUAAGAAUGCCACGGUGAAUACGUUCCCGGGCCUUGUACACACCGCCCGUCACACCAUGGGAGUGGGUUGCAAAAGAAGUAGGUAGCUUAACCUUCGGGAGGGCGCUUACCACUUUGUGAUUCAUGACUGGGGUGAAGUCGUAACAAGGUAACCGUAGGGGAACCUGCGGUUGGAUCACCUCCUUACCUUAAAGAAGC